UACGUAGGUGGCAAGCGUUGUCCGGAUUUAUUGGGCGUAAAGAGCGUGUAGGCGGCCUUACAGGUCAGCUGUGAAAACUCGAGGCUCAACCUCGAGACGUCGGUUGAAACCGUAAGGCUAGAGUCCGGAAGAGGAGAGUGGAAUUCCCGGUGUAGUGGUGAAAUGCGUAGAUAUCCGGAGGAACACCAGUGGCGAAGGCGACUUUCUGGCCUGUUCUUGACGCUGAGGCGCGAAAGCUAGGGGAGCAAACGGG
rnacentral:rRNA from 1 species